rnacentral:tRNA from 1 species
UGGGGCGUCGUCUAAAGGUAGGACAGCAGACUCUGGAUCUGCUUGUGAGGGUUCGAUUCCUUCCGCCCCAGCCA